GUCCAGACUCCUACGGGAGGCAGCAGUGGGGGAUAUUGCACAAUGGGGGGAACCCUGAUGCAGCGACGCCGCGUGGGUGAAGAAGUAUUUCGGUAUGUAAAGCCCUAUCGGCAGGGAAGAAAUUGGACGGUACCUGACUAAGAAGCCCCGACUAACUACGUGCCAGCAGCCGCGGUAAUACGUAGGGGGCAAGCGGUAUCCGGAUUCACUGGGUGUAAAGGGAGCGUAGACGGCCAUGCAAGCCUGGAGUGAAAGCCCGGGGCCCAACCCCGGGACUGCUCUGGGAACUGUGCGGCUGGAGUGCGGGAGGGGCAGGCGGAAUUCCUGGUGUAGCGGUGAAAUGCGUAGAUAUCAGGAGGAACACCGGCGGCGAAGGCGGCCUGCUGGACCGCGACUGACGUUGAGGCUCGAAAGCGUGGGGAGCAAACAGGAUUAGAUACCCGAGUAGA
rnacentral:rRNA from 1 species